AACGAACGCUGGCGGCAUGCCUAACACAUGCAAGUCGAACGAGACCUUCGGGUCUAGUGGCGCACGGGUGCGUAACGCGUGGGAAUCUGCCCUUGGGUUCGGAACAACAGUUGGAAACGACUGCUAAUACCGGAUGAUGACUUCGGUCCAAAGAUUUAUCGCCCAAGGAUGAGCCCGCGUAGGAUUAGCUUGUUGGUGAGGUAAAAGCUCACCGAGGCGACGAUCCUUAGCUGGUCUGAGAGGAUGAUCAGCCACACUGGACUGAGACACGGCCCAGACUCCUACGGGAGGCAGCAGUGGGGAAUAUUGGACAAUGGGCGAAAGCCUGAUCCAGCAAUGCCGCGUGAGUGAUGAAGGCCUUAGGGUUGUAAAGCUCUUUUACCCGGGAUGAUAAUGACAGUACCGGGAGAAUAAGCCCCGGCUAACUCCGUGCCAGCCGCCGCUGUAAGAC
rnacentral:rRNA from 1 species